UAUUAAUGUUGCAUAUGCUUUGAAAACCAUGAAUGGUAGUCCAAGACAGCAGACAGGACAAAAAUAAGAUCACUUGAAAACGUAAAGAUCCUCCGAAAGUUGAUAUAGCAUCUACUCAGUAUAAAUUAAUAUUUAGAGUUGAAAUGUUGCAAAUGGAGAAAAAAAAAGGCAAUGAACAUGUUUUUGAAGGCUGUGAAUGAAGAAAGAUGCUCUUUGCAGCAAGACGGUGUAGUUACGACAUCGUCCAGCAGGGGCUAAAAUAGACCUCACUGACCAGCUAAACCUCAACCACUUAACAACAACAACAACGAGCUCAGCAGCUUCACUCAUUACUGUAGUUCACACAUAAUUUCCUGAUUUCACACAUAACGCCUCUCAGCAUCAUACAGACGGUUUGUCGACUGUAGAGUUUGAUUCUCACCACAGGAGACCAGACGCAAACACACUGUCAACAUUUGCUUCUGUGUUUUUGUUUGUUUGUUUGUUUUAUAGUCGAGUCAUUCGUGGAGCUGCUCUCUGUCACUCGUGUAUCUGUCAAACCCUAAGAAUGAGCUUCUCACCAACAGUCUCUGUGUUUCCACUGAUGGCUCCAAAGAAAACAAGGCCUGUCCAGAUCUCAACCACCACCCUCCAUCCAGGUUCAUUUGUGAUUAUCAUCACUGCGGAGGCUUUGCUUUUACUCCUGAUAGGACUUCCAUUGAUUAUAGUGGCUGUAUGGAAGAAAAAGAAGAAUAAAGGUCUGCUGUCGUCCUCCGUCGAAGAGUUUAAUCCAGUGAUUUAUGAACAGGUGAGUCUUCAGAAACUGGAUUUAAAAUGGCUUACAGCUGUAUUGCAUUAACAGUUUCCCUAAAACACAGUCAGGGUUUCAUCUCUUGCUCAGCAUUUUGAUGAUGAUGAUGAAGAAGACUGUGACUGCAGUGAUUUACAGUAUUUUGAUGUUGAUGUCCAGCAGCUGGUGUGUGAAUGAUCAUAUUUGUGUGUUAAAACAUUAAACAGAUUGACUUUGGUUGAGUUGUUUUCUCUGUUAAUUAACUAACUCUUAUUUUCUGUUACUGUAGAUCAAAGACGCUGGACGUCAGUGUAAUCCAGAGGACAGAGACACAGAAACAACUGUAGUUUACAGCUGUGCUUCCUGAACUUGUGUCAUAUGUGACUCUACAGACCCGUCAGUGAGACUCGAGCAUCUCUUCAUCAACUCCACAACACAAACCAGUUCAAUUCAACUAAUAUAAUAUAACAUCAUAUGUAAUAUGAUACUAAAUAUGUAUAGUUUGGCAUCAUGUUGCAUGAUUUUGCAGUGGGCAGAAUUCAGUAAGGAGACAGCUGUAUGGAAAAAGCUGUACCUGAGUCUGCUGGUCCUUGUCCGGAGGCUCCUGAAGCGCCUCCCAGAGGUCAGGCGGUUAAACAGUGUAUGGUCAGGGUGAGAGGAGUCCUUGAGAAUGCUGCGAGCUCAAGUUCAGCGGUCAGCUUGGAGGGAAUGACAGUGUUAAAUGCUGAGCUUAAGUCAACAAACAACAUCCGUACAUAUGUGUUGUUAUUGUCCAAGUGUGUGAGUACCGAGUGCAGCACUGUGCAUACUGCAUCCUCUGUGCUCCUAUUGCUAUGGUAGACAAAUUGGUGUGGGUCCAGUGUGGGUGGGAUUCACGAUGUAACUGAAAAUCAGUCAUAACUGAGUUCAUUUUGUUGGCUUUGCUCACAGUAAUUGUUGUUACAAUUUUUAAUUGUAUGUUUACAGCUAAAAUGCAUAAAUAUGGAUCAUUUGAAUGUACCAAUUUCUGAAGCUGAGUCUCAUAAGUUGCAAUCUGCAGCUUAAUGGACAAAUUAAACCAUGCUAUUCUGGAACUGCAUUUUGAUAUUGAUUUUAUUUUAUGUAUGUGUGGUGUAUGUAGCAUUUUCUUGUUGUAUGUUGAGCUCAAGGUUUGUGUGGUUAGUUUGAUCUGUUCAGUUCUGCUGGUAGAUGCUGUAACUGCACCGAUCUGAUGCCGAAGAGCAUCUUUCUACAUUUACUGACAUUCAAAGUAGCUUUAUAGUCAGAUAAAUCCUUGCAAGCAACUUAUAACGGAGGCUCCUAAAAGCAAAAAGUGUUGAGGACUUUUAGAGUAAAAUGCGUUGUUGAAUUUUAGCGGAUUAACACUAGCUAGUGUAAACAGCAUUCUCUGCCCGGUGUAAAUACACAGAGUUACCUUUUUGAGUGUUAUUAGUCACAUCCGGGACAUUUGCUCGUGUACGCGCCUGACCCAUCUGAAAUAUUUUUCACAGACGCCAUUUUAUUUGCUUGAGAUGCGGAGCAUUUAAGGGCGGAAAACGGUGAAAUAAAGUGUUUAAUCUUACUCA
ensembl:lncRNA